UACGAAGGGAGCUAGCGUUGUUCGGAAUCACUGGGCGUAAAGCGCACGUAGGCGGAUUUGUCAGUCAGGGGUGAAAUCCCGGGGCUUAACCUCGGAACUGCCUUUGAUACAGCAAGUCUUGAGUUCGAGAGAGGUGGGUGGAAUUCCUAGUGUAGAGGUGAAAUUCGUAGAUAUUAGGAAGAACACCGGUGGCGAAGGCGGCCCACUGGCUCGAUACUGACGCUGAGGUGCGAAAGCGUGGGGAGCAAACAGG
rnacentral:rRNA from 1 species